AUGCUGCUGAGGUGCUCAAGAACUUGUCUGCAGUCCUUGCCUAAGCAGGUUUUCCAACCAAACAAAAACAUCUGCAUGCUGACUUCGAACUUAGUAAAGUCUCAUGUAGAUGGUGAUCAUCAUGACAGAAGUGAUUUUUUUCUCAUUCCUUUUGUGUAUCUCUGAAGUUCCUACUCUGGGCCUUUAACCUAGCACUGUCAUCACCAAACUGUCAGUCCUUGAUUAUCAUCAAUGGUGGAACAACCCUGCCCCAGCUUAUGACAGCAACAAAUUGAGACUCAUCCUUCAGUUAUGUGCACGUAAAUUAUCUAUGCUACCUGAAAGAUUAUUUUUUCACUUACCAAGGUUUUAGCAACUCUAAUUAACGUAUAAUGUUUAGUCUAGAUAUCCAUCUAGAUAUCCAUCAAUUGACUUAACUGAAUUUUAGCUAUCCGAUUGCCUAAAUAAACUUGAUAUAUAACUAUUGUAUAGUCA
rnacentral:lncRNA from 12 species